GGAGCUGUGGCCCAGUGGUAGAGCAUCUGCUUUUCAUGCAGAAGGUCCCAGGUUUGAUCCCUGGCAUCUCCA